AUUGAACGCUGGCGGUAUGCUUAAGACAUGCAAGUCGAACGGUAACAGGUUAAGCUGACGAGUGGCGGACGAGUGAGUAACGCGUGGGAAUCUACCUUGUAGUGGGGGAUAAGCCAGGGAAACUUGGACUAAUACCGCAUACGCCCUAAGGGGGAAAGGAGCAAUUCGCUAUAAGAUGAGCCCGCGUCUGAUUAGGUAGUUGGUGGGGUAAAGGCCUACCAAGCCGACGAUCAGUAGCUGGUCUGAGAGGAUGAUCAGCCACGUCGGGACUGAGACACGGCCCGGACUCCUACGGGAGGCAGCAGUCGGGAAUAUUGGACAAUGGGGAAACCCUGAUCCAGCAAUACCGCGUGUGUGAAGAAGGCCUGCGGGUUGUAAAGCACUUUCGGCCGGGAAGAAAUCGUAAUGGGUUAAUACCCUGUGCGGAUGACGGUACCGGCAUAAGAAGCACCGGCUAACUAACGUGCCAGCAAGCCGCGGUAAAAGUACUCUAU
rnacentral:rRNA from 1 species